rnacentral:rRNA from 1 species
UACGGAGGAGCUAGCGUUGUUCGGAAUUACUGGGCGUAAAGCGCACGUAGGCGGCUUUUAAGUCAGGGGUGAAAUCCCGGGGCUCAACCCCGGAACUGCCCUUGAAACUGGAGAGCUAGAAUCUUGGAGAGGCGAGUGGAAUUCCGAGUGUAGCGGUGAAAUGCGCAGAUAUCAGGAGGAACACCAAUGGCGAAGGCAGCUCGCUGGGACGGUACUGACGCUGAGACGCGAAAGCGUGGGGAUCAAACAGG